AGCCUUUGACUACGCCCUGGCAGGUAUAGUAAAGACCAGGAGCCUUUGACUACGCCCUGGCAAUGGUAAGUACAGAGGUGUUAUACACAUAUACAUAUAUGACAGGAAGACCAGGUGCUCGAUUCUACGCCCUGGCACGGAAGUUACUGAGGCUAUGUGGUGACAGGUUUACUCUUGAUGUGGCUUGUUUGUGUUAUGACGCAUUCCAUGAGAUCAUAUAUUAUGACUGAUUUUAUUAUUCUACUCACUGGGCUAUAGAGCUCAUCCCACUCCCUUAAUCCCAGUCUUGCAGGAUUCAGUGUACAGUGUACAG
rnacentral:lncRNA from 1 species